rnacentral:rRNA from 1 species
GACGAACGCUGGCGGCGUGCUUAACACAUGCAAGUCGAACGAUGAAGCCUAGCUUGCUGGGUGGAUUAGUGGCGAACGGGUGAGUAACACGUGAGUAACCUGCCCUGGACCCUGGGAUAAGCGUUGGAAACGACGUCUAAUACCGGAUAGGACCCUGUACCGCAUGGUGUGGGGUGGAAGGUUUUUUCGGUCUGGGAUGGACUCGCGGCCUAUCAGCUUGUUGGUGAGGUAAUGGCUCACCAAGGCGUCGACGGGUAGCCGGCCUGAGAGGGUGACCGGCCACACUGGGACUGAGACACGGCCCAGACUCCUACGGGAGGCAGCAGUGGGGAAUAUUGCACAAUGGGCGCAAGCCUGAUGCAGCAACGCCGCGUGCGGGAUGACGGCCUUCGGGUUGUAAACCGCUUUUAGUAAGGAAGAAGGGGAGCUUGCUCCUUGACGGUACUUGCAGAAAAAGGACCGGCUAACUACGUGCCAGCAGCCGCGGUAACAC